AACAUAAUUUGCUUUCUCGAUGAACAAAUCCACUGCCCAAAUCUUCUUCUCCUUACUAAACUUACCCAAUGUUUUCUUCUUUUUCUACUCUCUCUUUCUCAUCUUCAACUUAUUUUUGUUGAUUUGUUAUACUGUGUUUUGGAGAUCUAUUAAAAGUUUUUCAUUUUCAUCAAGAAAAAAUAAAGAACAAGAGUAGAUCUAUUUAAAGUAGUCAAUUUAUAUCAAGAAAAAAUAUAAAGAACAAGAGUAGGUUGUUCAUCUUCAUCAAGAAAAAAAUAAAGAAAAAUGAGACGGAGGGGAAUAGAUGAAGGAUGUGUGUGGUGGUGAAAUUAGGACUUGAAGUUGAAGAGAAGAUGAAAAAGGUGAAGGUUGUGUUGAUGGUGGAAUGACAAUGUGAUUUUGAAGAUGAAAGGUGAAAGAUAAAGUUGCCAUGGUGAAGAUAUUAGAUUUUGAGGUUGAACUUUCUUGUAAUAUAUAUUGACUUGAUUUGUAUUUUUGAUUGUAUUCUUAUCUCUAUUUGUCUAAAUUAUU